UACGUAGGGUGCAAGCGUUGUCCGGAAUUAUUGGGCGUAAAGAGCUCGUAGGCGGUCUGUCGCGUCGGCUGUGAAAACCCGAGGCUCAACCUCGGGCCUGCAGUGGGUACGGGCAGACUAGAGUGCGGUAGGGGAGAUUGGAAUUCCUGGUGUAGCGGUGGAAUGCGCAGAUAUCAGGAGGAACACCAAUGGCGAAGGCAGAUCUCUGGGCCGUAACUGACGCUGAGGAGCGAAAGCAUGGGGAGCGAACAGG
rnacentral:rRNA from 1 species